rnacentral:lncRNA from 1 species
CAACACGCAGCCGCUGAGUUUCAGGUUACCUGGCCGUGCGCAGGUAACCUGUAACAGAGCCCCACCCCCCCACCACCCCCAACACUUUGUGUCACUUUCUUGCUGGUGCCCACACUGCCAAACGAGAGACACCUUAUCUUUUAUUGCGAGGGAUGCUUUAUUGUUUUUGUCACUGAUAGCUCUUCAACUUGAUGCCGUGGAAUAGCUCAUUAAUGGUGCGUAACGCGAGAAUUUAGAACCCCCGGCGAGGAACGGUGUAUCCAAGCAACCAGCCCCGCACAAAGUGGACAGACGUACAUUUACAGCCGUGAGAGGAGGAUUUUAAAGCACUUCACUGGAUUUCUUUUUUUUGAGAGAAGGGGGUUAUUUUCUUGCUUGGACAUAUAUAUAGGCUACUGCAUUUUUCUUCUGAAGUGAGGUUCACCACCUGUGGUUUGUCAGCAGGAAUGACUUCUUCCGUGGCUCUGAGAGAAUUCAGAACUGGCCCUUUGUAUUUCUUUGACCAGGUGCACUGAUGAUUCACUGCGCUAUGCGUAAUUUAAAGGAAACCGCAGGACAUUAACCAUUUAUCUCUCUCCAGCCAACAGGACGGAGCCAAAUCAAAGGGACAAGAAGCAACAUUUUGCUGUUUGCUAUGUCACAAGAAGAAACACAACCGGAAGACUCACUAAGUAAUCCAGAGAAUGAAGAAGAAGAAGGUAAAAGAGAUGAGCUCACUGACGGACUCUCUAAUGAAACAUGUGAGGAUAAUAAACCUGAUACAUCGUCCGCUCUCGGGGCCGCACUCAACAUAAAGGAACACGAUCCAACGGACGAGUACAAGCGAGCAGCCCCUCACUUACUAAAUGAACUGGCUGCGCUACUGUCCCAACACAGGUGGACUGAGAAGGGCUGUGUUCCUCACGGGAUUGUAAAUGUUCUGAACUAUUCCUGGCAGGAUCUGACAGCUGGAGCGGUUUGGAAAAGUCCAGACCAGACUGAAAACCAAGAAAAGUCCAAAGGCUCCUUGAGGUUGGACGAAACUAACCGGCCGGUGUCUGCCAGUGACAAGAAGGAAACGAGAAGGAGAAAUUCAUGUGUUGCUGGAAACGUGGGUCUCUCUGAGAGAAAACCACAAUCUAGCUCAAAUCCACGCGUGAAAAAACGCAAACAAAACCCCCCAAAAGCUCAUAACUCCAUAAUGACCAGUUUCUCCAUCUCAUCCAACAGCUGUAAUGAUCCAGGUUGGAUCAUCCAGACCCAGCCACCCUCCUACAAUGAGCCUCAGCAGAUCAAUUUGUGUCAGUGGGUGGUGAAGCGACUGCAGGUGGCAAGAACUCCUGAAAAACUGCAAGCAGCUGGACAGACCCAGAGCAAGACCCUCAUUCUCCGUCACUAUGGAGAUGCAAAGGCAAAACCGAAGGACAGGAGAGCACAGAGAAAGGCCAAUCCUACUACUUUAGUUAAUGGGAUUCCCCAGAUACCAGAAGUGAAGCAGCAGGAUCCAGCACAGCAGAAACUACACUACAGGAUCAACGAUGGCUCCUCAUUCAUAUAG